ACGCGAAGUAUCGCAUCCACGGUCGAAC
rnacentral:sRNA from 1 species